GAUACAUCAUGGGUUUAGGAGAACUCUGACCUGAAGCUGAUCUGUUGUCACUAAAUGCUCCAGCAUUAGUCCAUGUCACAAUGAGGUACUGGUGACCUAUGAGCCGUGCACAGUGCUGUGCCCCGGAAGUAUAAAACACUGGCCUCCCGGAGCUAAGCUAAACUGUUCACUCACUGCGAUGACGAGCACACCCACUGACGUGAGCGGCUUGCUCUGUGACUGUGUUAUUAUGGGCCUGGAGGAGAACCCCGACAAGGAAAAGCAGCAGAGUCCAAAUCCCCCAGAGACCCCUUGAAUGCAUUUACUCUACACACUGUGGCACUGGAAACCUCUUGAGUACCAUUCAGGAGUUCAGGCAUGGUGAGAACAAUUAGGGGCUUUAACAGGGGUAUUCAAAAGCCAAGCACUGAGAGCCACUGGAUUCAUUUGUUACAUUCAAAGUUUCUCCCUUGGCCACAUGAAGCUUUGUUUACACAAAAUAGCUGAUACCAUUUUAAGUCUCUCAGCUUUCCAUUUUUACUGCUGUGUUUAGCUCCUCUGACUGUGUUCCUUCUGAAAUAAAGUUGGCAAGAGGCUGGGAACAUCGUGGUACCCAUAGCCAGUGUCAUUUCUUCAAACAGGUAUGUUCGGCAGCUGCCUACUUAGGAAGACAAGAGGGCACUGCAAGAUCCAACCAGAAUAAGGGGAUGCCCCCUCUCCACCUUAUCAGCUACAAUGCAAUCUACUGAAGCCAUUGUUUUCUGGGUCAGAAAAAAAAAUUAAUGGCAUAUUUUCUCCAAAUGUCACUAUCAUACUGUGAAUAGGCAAAACCUAUUAUCCCCAACCUUUUCCUUUAGCAUAUUAAUAAUGGCUCAUAUGUUAGACAUCUUACUAAAAAUCAUAGAUACAUAUGGCUGUAUCUCCUUGACUUAGUAGUGUGUGGUGGUAGCUCAGCAAACCAAAUAUAAAUAAUAUUGCCAUCAUUAAUCACAAAUUGGUUCAUUAUCAUCAUCUAUGUAAACAGAGUGACCCUGUUGAUGAAGAAGUGAAGUAUAGAAUUCCAUCUCUUCAAAGUGGGAUCAAAUGUGGUUAAAAGAUAUUUCGAUAAGAGCUCUAGGUGGAUGACUUUGGAAGCAAGAAGGCAGCACACAACACUGACGGCAAUCCUAAAAGCCAGAGACGUUCAUUGCAGGAUGUGUGGGAAAGCCAAGGAAAAGGAGGGGCUCCAAAGAAGAGCAAUCCCUUGCAGGUAGGGAGAUACAAAGUUAAUGGGAAAGAGGACAGUAUGGAAAAGCAAGGAGGUCCCACGAGUGACCUAUUUUCCCAAAUUUCCCUGUAUUGUGUCUCCAGAUAUCAAAUGAUGUCAAGAAUGUACGGUGUCCAUAAAGAAAAGAUAAUAUCCACAGAUUCUAAGUGGUGAGCGAUUGUGAGUUAAUUAAGUGAGAUAGAGGCCGAAAGAUUAUAUACACUACAAUCAACUUCAACAGGAACAAUUAUUUAUCCUAAACUUCACACUACUAAAAAAAAAAAAAUCUUAUGUCAGGGCACAUUGCUACAUAACUAAAAUACUCAAUCGAGGACUCGUAUCAUAUCUGAAAAGUGGAAUCACACAUCAUGAGAGAGCAAACAAAUUUGUGAGAUCUUGGAAACAAUUUCAUUCCUCUGGUUUAAAACUAGGGGUGGUAGAAGGGGAGGAGGGCGGGGGGUGGGAGUGAAUGGGUGACGGGCACUGGGGGUUAUUCUGUAUGUUAGUAAAUUGAACACCAAUAAAAAUAAAUUUAAAAAAAUAAAAUAAAAUUUCUUUGUUGGCUAAAAUGACAUAAUGGGGCAUCCCUAUACUUCUACACUUUAUAUAAUUUUAUUAGAUUUGUAUGACACUACCGUAAUCAGCUCUGGCUACAUUUAUAAUAAUUCAUUUCCAGGCAGCCCCGGUGGCCCAGCGGUAUAGCGCCACCUUCAGCCCGGGGUAUGAUCCUGGGCACCCGGGAUCGAGUCCCACGUGGGGCUCCCUGCAUGGAGCCUGCUUCUCCCCCUGCCUAUGUCUCUGCCUCUCUUUCUCUCUGUGUCUCUCAUGAAUAGAUAAAUAAAAUUUUUUAAAAAAAUAAUAAUUCAUUUCCAUUUGACUACAAAUAAAAAGAAUGUUUAUUUUAUAUUUUAAAAUGUAAUUAUUCCAUAAUAUCAGACACUUUUAUGCUACAAUAGUUCAACUUUAAAAUUUAAAAGUGAAUUUACCUGUGUUGAAAUUUUAAAUAUAUAUUCUUCGAAAAUUAGAUCCUCCAAAUCUGCAUAUCCAAAAAAUCUAAUUCCUUUGACCCACAUUUCACCAUCAUAUGUACUUGCCUUUUGUUUUGUAUGUAAGAUAACAUGAUGCAUGUGCAUAUGCAACUAUUUUGGGUAUAGACAUAUAGGCCUUUUAUUUAUCAGAGCUGCAGGAGUUACUCUAAGAGGUCUAGAAUCUAGAAUAUAUACCAAAUUUUGUAUAAAUAAAUAAUGUAUUUCAAAAAUAUAAAUAGAUCUUGUUGUGACUAUACGCAAAUUCAUUUUAAAAGAAUGAUCACAUUCAUAAUUAUCAUUAUUAUUAUGAUGCAUUUGCUCAAUCAAGUGAUACUGAAAGUAUACACAAAUUCAUUUUAAAAGAAUGAUCAUAUUCAUAAUUAUCAUUAUUAUGAUGCAUUUGCUCAAUCAACUGACACUGAAAGUAUAACUAUGAUCAAGUGGCCUCCCAAUUUUUUUAAUUAUGAAGGGGAACUUUGUGGCAGAAAAUGAUGAAGAUCACUAAACUAAUUCACAGUUGUAUUACAUGUAAAUGUUGAUAGGGCAACAACCUACCAAUUAGUUCACUUUGAUCAGACCAUGACAAAAUAAACCACUAUGAAUAAUUUUAUGAUUAUUCAUACAGUGAUUUAUUUAUAAUUAUAAUUCACAUAAAGUGUAAGCUACAUAAUUAACAAACAUAUUGAAAGAGUGAUAGUCUAUAAUUAUAUGAUCACAAUUUACAGUCCACUGCAUUUUUUUUUCUGAGUCCAAACUCCACACACUAUUUCCUGACUUAGGAAGUAUUACAAAAUACAACCUAAUUUUACUCUUACAUAUAUAUUCUUAGAUCUGUAGCUCUUAUAUGAACAAAAUAGC
rnacentral:lncRNA from 1 species